rnacentral:rRNA from 1 species
CAAUAGCGUAUAUUAAAGUUGUUGCAGUUAAAAAGCUCGUAGUUGGAUCUGUGGUGUGCGGUGGGCUCCGGGCACUUGUUGUCUGAGUAGCUCGCCGCCGCCAUCCUUGGGUGGAACCUGUGUGGCAUUAGGUUGUCGUGCAGGGGAUGCCCAUCGUUUACUGUGAAAAAAUUAGAGUGUUCAAAGCAGGCUUAUGCCGUUGAAUAUAUUAGCAUGGAAUAAUGAGAUAGGACUUUUUCGCUAUUUUGUUGGUUUGCGCGAAGAGGUAAUGAUUAAUAGGGACAGUUGGGGGUAUUCGUAUUCCAUUGUCAGAGGUGAAAUUCUUGGAUUUUUGGAAGACGAACUACUGCGAAAGCAUUUACCAAGGAUGUUUUCAUUAA